rnacentral:ncRNA from 2 species
GCCUUCGAAGAUCGCGCCGGUGCUCCGUAGAAGGAGCUUAAUCGGGAAUGCGGUGCGGGGGUUCACCCCCAAAUCCGCGGCUGUCCCUGCAACUGUGAGCGGAUAGCGCGAUGCACUGGCUCCCCUGGAGGAGCAGCCACUGGGCCGAUCGGGCCUGGGAAGGCGUGCAGCGUGCCGUGACCCGCAAGCCAGGAGACCUGCCGGCGCAACGGUCGCUCU